GGGCACUUAGCUCAGCUGGUUAGAGCGUCGCAUUUACACUGCGAAGGUCGGGGGUUCAAAUCCCUCAGUGCCCA
rnacentral:tRNA from 4 species